GGCUUGGUGGUCUAGUGGUAUGAUUCUCGCUUAGGGUUCACUCUAUGUUUCUGGCUCAGGGCUCCGUCCUACAGCACGGCUUGCGAGAGGUCCCGGGUUCAAUCCCCGGCCAAGCCC